CACGUAGGCGGCUUCUUAAGUCGGUGGUGAAAUCCUGGAGCUCAACUCCAGAACUGCCUUCGAUACUGGGGAGCUCGAGUCCGGGAGAGGUGAGUGGAACUGCGAGUGUAGAGGUGAAAUUCGUAGAUAUUCGCAAGAACACCAGUGGCGAAGGCGGCUCACUGGCCCGGUACUGACGCUGAGGUGCGAAAGCGUGGGGAGCAAACA
rnacentral:rRNA from 1 species